rnacentral:tRNA from 1 species
GGUAAAAUGGCUGAGGUUAGGCAAUAAAUUGUAAAUUUAUCUACGAAUAAAAUAUUCUUUUACCA